CUUGGUUGAUGCUUCCAGUAGUCAUAUGUUUGUCUCAAAGAUUAAGACAUGCAUGUGUAAGUAUGAACAAAUUCAUACUGUGAAACUACGAAUGGUUCAUUAAAUCUGUUAUAGUUUGUUUGAUAGUAUCUACUACUCAGAUAAUCAUAUUAAUUCUAGAGAAAAUACGUGCAUCAAACCCUGACUUCUGUAAGGGAUGCAUUUAUUAUAUAAAACGUCAACACGGGCUCUACCCAUUGAUGCAAUGAUUAAUGAUAACUAGAUGGAUCUCACGACCAUUGUUCCUACGAUGCAUCACUCAAUUUCUGCCCUAUCAACUUCUGAUAGUAGCAUAACGACCUACUAUUGUGGUGAUGGAUUAUGGGUGAUGGAGAAUUAGCAUUUGAUUUUGGAGAGGGAGCCUGAGAAACAGCUACUAUAUCCAAAAAUACAGCAGACAUGCAAAUUAUGUAAUCCUGACACAGAGAGGUAGGGAUAAUAAAUAACAAUACCAGACUCAAUGAGUCUUAUAAUUGGAAUAAGUACAAUCUAAAUCCCUUAAUGAGGAUCCCUCGGAGGGCAAGUCCUGUGCCACCAGCCGCGGUAAUUCCAGCUCCAAUAGCAUAUAUUUAAGUUGUUGCAUUAAAAGCUCGUAGUUGGACUUUAGAAUGGGCCGCCCGGUCUGUCUAUUGUGCGCACCGAUCAUCUCAUCCCUUAUGUCGGUGAUGUGCUAUUGGCCUUAAAUAGUUGGGUCAUGCCUCCGGCGCAGCUACUUUGAAGAAAUUAGAGUGCUCAAAGUAAUCCUACGCUCUGUAUACAUUAGCAUGGGAUAAAAUUAUAGGAUUUUGUUCUUAUUAUCUUGGCCUUUGGGAUCGGAGUAAUGAUUAAUAGGGACAGUCAGGGCAUUUAUAUUUCAUAGUCAGAGGUGAAAUUCUUGAAUUUAUGAAAGUCAAACAACUGCGAAAGCAUUUGCCAGGAAAAUUUCAUUAAUCAAGAAGAAAAGUUGAGGGCUUGAAAAUGAUCAGAUACCAUCCUAGUCUAAACCAUAAACGAUGUCGACUAGGGAUCGGCGAAUGUUGCUUAUAGGACUUUGCUGGCACCUUAUGAGAAAUCAAAGUUUUUGGGUUCAGCGGGGAGUAUGGUUGCAAGGGGAAUAUUUUAAAAAUAUAAAAAUAUUAGUAAAAUAUUCCCAACGUAUGAAGUGACCUUAAACCAAUUAUUGAGUGAAUAUUUGUAUGUAUAACGUAACGAUAUAAAAUAUUUAAAUUUAAGGAUACUAAAUAAAAUAUUCCCAAUGCAUGAAGUGACCUUAAACCAAUAAUUGAGUGCAUAUUUAUACGUAUAACAUAAUGAUAUGAAAUAAUUAAAUUUAAGGAUAUUAAAUAAAAAAUUAAAAAAAUAUAAAAAUAACAUGGCAACAUUAGGAAAAUCGCCCUGCAUGCAACAGACAAGUAACAACUUUAAACUAUGCAUAUUUUAAUAAAAUAACCUUAAACAAUAAUUGAGUACAUAUUUGUACAUCUAACG
rnacentral:rRNA from 1 species